rfam:Erinaceus europaeus unplaced genomic scaffold scaffold00201, whole genome shotgun sequence
GAACUAACACUCAGCAGCACAUAUACUAAAGUUGGAACGAUAUAGAGAAGAUUAGCAUGGCUCCUGCACAAGGAUGACAAGCAAUUUCAUGAAGCAUUCCAUAUUUUU